AUGUCCGAGACAGAAACGGCGGCGGCGGCGGCGACGUCGACGGAGCGGAAGCCCCGGCGGCUGCGGGGGCACAAGAAGGGCGCCGUCACCUGCUGCGUAGCGUCCUCCGCCCGCCCGGGCGUCGUCGCGUCCUCCGGCGAGGAUGGAUGUCUUUGCUGGUUUGAUUUGCGCACCAAAGAUGUGCUCUUGACCAUUGAGGCAGCAAAUAAACCUAUCUCUUCCAUCUGUUUUAAAUCAGGAAAUGAAGAUCAUGUGUAUGUAUCGGCUGGAAAUGAAAUCUUGUCCUUCGAUAUUCGUAUGGGAUCUCAAUCAAAGCCACUGGAGACAUAUAACUACAAUAGAGAUGAAAUCAACCAGAUUGCUGUGAGUUCUAAAGGCUAUCUUGCUGCUGCAGAUGACAGUGGGGAUGUUAAGAUUGUCAAUACCACUCAAAAGUGCUUGUACAAAAGAUUGAGGGAAGCCCACACAAGUAUUUGCAGCAGUGUACAAUUCAUUCCUUGGAGACCUUGGACAGCAAUUACUGGUGGCCUUGACUCAAAGCUUGCUGUGUGGGAUUUCUCCAAAGGGCGAGCACUAUUUUCUAUUGAUUAUGGAUCACCUGAAUUGCAAAAUAGCAAUUCUUCGGGUAGUACAGGGCAAUGUCUCAACCCUGCUUUCGUUCACUCGGUAGCAGUUUCUGAAGAGGGCAUUUUAGGUGGGUUGUAUAAAGUUUGUGCCGUUGCAAGGGGGGACGGUGUUGUUGAUGUAGUUGAUCUAGAAUAUGAAUUGGCCCCUGCAAAAUCAAAAGGCCCUUCUCGGGCAGGCGGUUUGGCCAUGAGCUCGAAAAGAAACGAUCUUGGGGAUGGGAGCAAUAAUCAAUGCCAAGGGAAAAGGAUCCAUCUUGAUUACUCAAUGGGUGGCCAUACUGCAGCUGUCUCCUGUGUAGCAUUUUCAGCGUUUGGUGAGAAGGGGAAGUUCCUUGUUUCAGGUGGUAACGACGCAUCACUGAAAGUAUGGGAUUGGUCCAAAGGAUUUUCUCCUGAAACAAACAGCAAUAGUGAAUUGGUGUUGGAUAUUGAUGUGAAGAAAAAGGUAAAUUGGUUGUGUACUGCUCCAACUGAUUCAGAUAACCUGAUUGUGUGUGACACAUCCAAGGUGGUCAAAGUAUAUAAUUUCCCAUAG
rnacentral:rRNA from 1 species